GGCUCUGGUCUUCGUUAUGUUUUUCAGUGUCGGGUGGAGUCUACAUCCUGUCGCAUCUCUGCUGGGAAGGCGGAGGAAUUUUUUUUUUUUUUGUACUAGUUUCUCAUUGACUAUUUGACACAGCCCGAGACACCGAGAUACUCCAUAAAAAAUGACGACGACCACCACCUUUCAAGGAAUGAGCCCCGGUUCUAAGAGCAGUUCCAGGGUACUACGACCGCCAGGAGGGGAAUCCAGCUUCUCCCUAGGCACAGACGACAAUACAACCCCCCAGCGCAAGAGCAAGAUGGCCUCCAGCAUCUUUGCAGAACCUGAGGACCCGCAUGCUCAUCGGAGGAACAAUCCACCCAGUGGGGCACCCACAGGAACCCUGUGCGGCGAGCCCUCGGCCCCACUGAGGCGGUGCCAGCAGCCUCUUCUUUUCCCCAAGAACCCUCAACCGGAACUGACCACCAUCCACAACUCUGGGGCAGCCUUGGUCUGGACCCAGAGACAAGAGGUUGAAAAUGGGGAAGAACAAGCAAAUGAUGAGUGUCUUGAUGAUGUGGAGCAGCAGGAGGAGAUGCCACAACCCUCUGACCCAUUGGGAGGUGGCCAAAGAAAAGAAAAAGCUUUUUAAAGAUAAAUACCCCCACCACUCUCUUCUUCCUCAUCAACCUGUCACCUUCUUCCCUCCUUCACCUACUUCACUACUACUUUCUUUUUUUGAUCCAGUAGUGCAUCGUGCAAUUACAUUUAGCUUUUCCCUUAUUCUUCCCUGGAAAAAAAUGAAAUAUUAACAAACAUUUGACGUGUGUUUUUAUAAAUACAAUAAAGAUGGAAAUGAAUUUCCUGUGGCUAAUUCUUUUUCUUUCUUUUUUAUGUAUUAACAGUCAUAAAAUAAGUAAAAUAAUAUAGAUAAAGACAUGUAAACUUACAGCAUAGAUAAAUAAUUGUCUGAUUAAUAGGAUGUGUUAAAAGACUGUGGUUAAAAUACAUAUUUUUCAUUGUGGUAAAAGAUCAAGUUUAUUGGUAAGAGUGUUAAAAAUGCACAUUUUAUUUUAUGAUAAUUUGAUAGAGUAUAUUUCUAAAGAAGUGUAUCUAGUCCCAAUUUAAUGGAGCUGACUGAUAAUAAUUUGAUUUAGCCUUCCUCAUAGUGCAAGUUGUUAGAGCAGUUGUUUCGAAACAGGGAGCGUCUACCCUCUGGGUGCGGUCCAUUUUGGGCAUAUGUGAGGCACAGAUAUGUACGGUAUAGACGGUAGUAAAUUAAUAUAUACUAUAGAGCAGAUAUAAAUGGACAGUGGCAUGGAUAUGAAUUGGUAUGUGAGAGCAUGAAUAGUGCAGUUAAGUCUAUGUGACAGCUGAAGGGAGAACGCCGUUCCUGAGCCUGUUGGUCCUGAGAGAGUCCUGUAGCGCCUCCCAGAGUCCUGUUGAUACAGAGGGUGUUUGCCCUACCAUUGGUCUUUCUGAAGUCCACAAUGAUCUCUUUAGUCUUCUUGGUGUUAAGAGCCAGGUUGUUAUCGGCACAAGUUCUCUUUGUACACCGACUCAGGCCAACCACUGUUGUGUCGCCUAUAAACUUGAUAAUGGUAUUGGAACCAUGAACAGGCAUGCAGUCGUAGGUGAAGAGGGAGCAGAGGAGAGGGCACAGCACACGGUCCUGUGGGACUCCAGUGUCCAGGUUAAAGGGUUGAGGAGGUGUGGUUGUCUAACCUAACAGACUGAGGUCUGUUGGUGAGAAAGUCCAGUAUCCAGCUGCAGUGGGAGGUGUUAAUGCCCAGGUCAAUGAGUGUGGUGAUCAGAUUAAAGAGGAUGGUGGUUUAUAUAAAUAAACAGCAUUCAGCGCUGUGGAGAUGGCAUCCUCUGCACUCUUGUUCUUCACUGCAGGCUGCAGCACAAUGGAUGAAUGAAUGCAAGACUCUUCCGUGUAGACAGACUUGAAACAAAUCGACAGAUACCUACCGAGACUAACCCACUAGAGGGCAAUACAAACGUUGUAAAGUGGUCUACAACCCAGCGCUAAAACUAAACUUUUGACCUACUUUCAGUGUGGAUGUGUUUUGACGCCUUAUCUCAAUAGAAAAAAAACGUAUCAACCAAUGCAGAAGUCUUUCCUUGUAUCUGAUGUUUCAGAGAGGUCUAAGGAAGAAGAGUUUUUGAGACAGCCAACAUUAUUAUUGUAGUGACAAGUUCAGAUUAGAACUGCAAAUCUCACAUUUUUGGAGUAAUUAAAUGUAGGGAAGUAUGAAAUCAUAAAGCUUUAUCAAGUCUGGGAUGACCGUGCUACUUUUUGUCUCUGUCUAAGUAGAAUCUAUCUGAAACAUGGCAUUGUGGGAUAUUAACAACACAGCUGUGUUAUCUACUCUGAAAAUACUCAUCUUUAAAACAUACAGUAUAUUGUACAGCCCUGUUUAUCAAUACACAGCCUGUAUAAAGAUUACAUUUUUUGUGACAGCUCUUCUGUUCUUUCUUACUUUUAGAUUUGGAUCUUAUCUAAUUUUUAAUAGUGAUUAAAUGUAACUAAGCACAUUCAAGUACUGUACUAAAGUAAAAAGAAAUGUUACUACUUUGUAUUUUUACUCCACAAAUUUUUUUUUAAACAACUUUAAUAACUUUAAGGAUUAAGAUUUUACUUUAGGAUACAUUUAUACAAUACAAUGGACUGUUCAACAGCAGUUCAACCAAAGAGACAUUUCAGGUCUAAACUCCUUAAAAAGCUUAAUUCAAAUCAAACUCAAACAUUAAAAAACAACCCUUUUUUUAUACUUUACAUAUAUUUUUCUGAUGAUACUUCUGUACAUUUACUUGUAGUAGAAUAUAAGAUCUUAAAACUUCUUCCUCCAGUGGCUUUCAAGCACUCUGGUUAUCCUCAUGUUUGUUUGACUCUGUUGCUGCAACAGAGACCUUUCACCCUCUGCUAACAUUGCAGUUGCACUAGUGCAAGCUCUUUAUGAUAAAUGCAGACUAGUGUUCCUCCCAACUUUAAACACAAGUGGUUCAACCUCAGAAAAAAAGUUGUUACUUUUCACUGUAUCUAAACUGGGGCUUUGAUCUUCUCGCCCACAUUAGACACUGAUGUAGGUCACGUGAUGCUUUUUGUAAAUGUGUUAGAUGAUGUGGUUGAAAACACAUGCACAUUUCCUACUGAGGAGUUAGAAUUCAAGUGAACCUUGUGUGUCUGUCAUCAUGUCCGCUGUCUGGUUAAAGCUCAUAACCAUCCUUUGUCUCUCCUGCACAGCCCUGAGUGGACCAGACAGUGAAGUGUUAUGGAAAGAUGUUGGAGGAUCCUUCACUAUCCAGUGCAGAGCUCCUGAGCCAGAACAAGACUCACUGACACUGAAGAAAGGUCUCAGCAAGGACAUCGAUGUUUUCCACAAACCCAGCGGCUCAGACAAAAAUACCACUGCUGAACAAUUCAAGUACAGACUUCAGUUCAAUGGAAAAUUCCCCAACGUGGACAUUCUCAUCAAAAACUUGACCUCUAACGACACAGGACCCUACUGGUGCUGUUACGCAAAGUUUGAUCUGAACACCGCUACAGUCAUACACAAGAAAGGGACCGGGUCUGUGCUCCUGGUGGUGUCAGGAACAGAAACAAAACAGAAGCAGUGUGACCCAUCGUCAGAUAAGAAUCUGGUCCUGGUGUCUGUUGUGAUCUCUGCUGCUGUGCUGCUUGGCAUCGUCAUCGGUUUCUUCAUAUGGAUCACCCUCAAGACCAAGACUUUGCGUAACACAGUGAAACCAAGACACGUCACCACAAAUGAUGUUUAUGAGGACAUGCGAGGAACACUCAGACGCUAAGGAUGUCGGCCUGCCAGCGACCAACCUGAAACUCCUGUCUCUGCACCACUGAGGUGCAAGUGAUGCAUCUAAAGCAAUGUAGCAACUCGGUAUGUUCUCCAACAUGCUCUGAUAUCUCUUCAGGCCAUGUGUAUGUCUGAGUGUAUGUCAGUGACACACGGUUAUGACAAAGAGGUCCAUUAAUUGCUAAAAGGUACACCGUGGAAAACUGCAUUGCCAGUGAACGUUUUGGCAAGAUGCGUGAAAAUACAUAACACAACUCCAUUUGAAAGUAGUAGAGACACACAAAUGUUAGUUUGUGAUGUCUUUCAAAACUGGAUUGUACCCUGUGACCCUCACAUGUGACACUGAUAUGUAACUUUAAUGUAAAUAUGUCUUUAAUUUCAGUCAUUCCUUGUUUUUGCAGAUGGUUUAUUUGCUGUAUUACUAAAGAGUUACUUUGAAACCUAUAAAAUGUGUGUACUGUGUAAUAUAACAAUAAUAGCUGUAAUUUGCCAUGUACAUAAAUAAAACAAUUCAUAUGUGGGAUUAGAA